CGUAUCGAAUCCGGGUGAAGGUCUGACUCUUUUACCAGCGUUGGAAGCGGUCGGGCCAGGUGUAGUCUCGAACGCGGUCGUGAAUUUGUGGUCGUCAAGACUAUGUCGGUUCGAAAGAACGAUUCCGUCGUCGCACGAUCGAAUCGUUGCGUCGCGUACGAUAAAACCUGCACGAUGCAAGGAUCUUUCGCAAUGAUUUUCAACGUCUGCCGCUUUCCAUUCGGUUAAUGGACAUUUCGGUGUGUUUCGCGUCUACUUUUCAAUUAUCCACGUGCUUGGUAACGCAAAAACGGCACGGCCGCCCGGUUUUUACGUUAAUUGGACGCUGGCUCGAUACGCCGUUUAACGGCGAUCGUACCAAUCACUGUGUACCUCGCGUCGAUCGUAAUUAACGUUUAAAUGACGUGGCAGAUACUUGGCCGUGCGUCAAGACAACGUUCGACCGAUGAAACCUCUCGAUAAAACGAUUAAGAAGAAAGUUUUCUUGGAAGGAAGGCGGGAGAGAAGGGAGAACGGGGAUCGCUGAUCGCGUAACGAUACGCUUACGUUCGUACCACUCGACCAGAUUUUUUAUAUCGACGUGACCUGUGCUGACCUAGAGAGUAAAUACUCGGACGUGCACGGUUCGAUUACGUAAAGCUUAUAAGCGGUCUCACGGAGCAGAUUAACCGGAAAAAGUUGGACGCCAUUGACGCGAGUAAUUUACCAAGGUCGUAAGGUGUCGAGAUGUUGCUAUCUCCUGCUGUAAACCGAAUCUAGGACAUCCUUGGACACAGUGUUCUCCGUAAAUCAAGUCUUUACUGUUUCUCAGGUUUUCGGUAUAUUACCACGUUCUCCAGAGUCCAGGGUCGAGUUUUGAGACUUCGGUAUAAAGUAGGAGUUUGUUCCAGUUCUCGGUAUCGUAGGAAUGGAAAUUCGAACGGACGAAAGAAGACGGAGAGAAGAACGCUUAUGACAGACUAUCGGAAACGAUCGACGAGCGAUUUAAGAAACGCGCGUAAAGCAAGUGCUAGAUGUCUUUCUAGUCGCAUGCGCGUCGUGUGUCAGCGGGAAUCGUCGAAGUUGGGAGUGAGAGUCAAAGUUCAAAGAGAACAGAGUCUGAAAGAAACGUGCCACGUUGAACGAAUCACGAAUAAACUAUUAUCGUA